rnacentral:tRNA from 1 species
UCCCGUGUGUCUCAGUUGGUAGAGCAUGGUGUUUGCAACGCCAGGGUUGUGGUUUCGAUUCCCACGUGGGGAA